GGUUUGCUGGAGGUAUCAGAAGUGCGAAUGCUGACAUGAGUAACGACAAAGGGGGUGAAAAACCUCCUCGCCGGAAGACCAAGGGUUCCUGUCCAACGUUAAUCGGGGCAGGGUGAGUCGACCCCUAAGGUGAGGCCGAAAGGCGUAAUCGAUGGGAAACGGGUUAAUAUUCCCGUACUUCUGACUAUUGCGAUGGGGGGACGGAGAAGGCUAGGUGGGCCAGGCGACGGUUGUCCUGGUUCAAGUGCGUAGGCUUGAGAGUUAGGUAAAUCCGGCUCUCUCUAAGGCUGAGACACGACGUCGAGCUACUACGGUAGUGAAGUCAUUGAUGCCAUGCUUCCAGGAAAAGCCUCUAAGCUUCAGAUAGUCAGGAAUCGUACCCCAAACCGACACAGGUGGUCGGGUAGAGAAUACCAAGGCGCUUGAGAGAACUCGGGUGAAGGAACUAGGCAAAAUGGUACCGUAACUUCGGGAGAAGGUACGCUCUUGAUGGUGAAGUCCCUCGCGGAUGGAGCUGACGAGAGUCGCAGAUACCAGGUGGCUGCAACUGUUUAUUAAAAACACAGCACUGUGCAAAAUCGCAAGAUGACGUAUACGGUGUGACGCCUGCCCGGUGCCGGAAGGUUAAUUGAUGGGGUUAGCGCAAGCGAAGCUCUUGAUCGAAGCCCCGGUAAACGGCGGCCGUAACUAUAACGGUCCUAAGGUAGCGAAAUUCCUUGUCGGGUAAGUUCCGACCUGCACGAAUGGCGUAAUGAUGGCCACGCUGUCUCCACCCGAGACUCAGUGAAAUUGAAAUCGCUGUGAAGAUGCAGUGUACCCGCGGCUAGACGGAAAGACCCCGUGAACCUUUACUACAGCUUGGCACUGAACAUUGAACCUACAUGUGUAGGAUAGGUGGGAGGCUAUGAAGACGUGACGCCAGUUGCGUUGGAGCCGUCCUUGAAAUACCACCCUUGUAUGUUUGAUGUUCUAACUUAGACCCAUUAUCUGGGUUGAGGACAGUGCCUGGUGGGUAGUUUGACUGGGGCGGUCUCCUCCCAAAGAGUAACGGAGGAGCACGAAGGUGGGCUAAUCACGGUUGGACAUCGUGAGGUUAGUGCAAUGGCAUAAGCCCGCUUAACUGCGAGAAUGACGGUUCGAGCAGGUGCGAAAGCAGGUCAUAGUGAUCCGGUGGUUCUGUAUGGAAGGGCCAUCGCUCAACGGAUAAAAGGUACUCCGGGGAUAACAGGCUGAUACCGCCCAAGAGUUCAUAUCGACGGCGGUGUUUGGCACCUCGAUGUCGGCUCAUCACAUCCUGGGGCUGAAGUCGGUCCCAAGGGUAUGGCUGUUCGCCAUUUAAAGUGGUACGCGAGCUGGGUUUAGAACGUCGUGAGACAGUUCGGUCCCUAUCUGCCGUGGGCGUUGGAAGAUUGAAGGGGGCUGCUCCUAGUACGAGAGGACCGGAGUGGACGAACCUCUGGUGUUCGGGUUGUGUCGCCAGACGCAUUGCCCGGUAGCUAAGUUCGGAAUUGAUAAGCGCUGAAAGCAUCUAAGCGCGAAGCGAGCCCUGAGAUGAGUCUUCCCUGACAGUUUAACUGUCCUAAAGGGUUGUUCGAGACUAGAACGUUGAUAGGCAGGGUGUGUAAGCGUUGUGAGGCGUUGAGCUAACCUGUACUAAUUGCCCGUGAGGCUUAACCAU
rnacentral:rRNA from 1 species